rnacentral:rRNA from 1 species
CUAUACAUGACUCUGCGCAUAUCAAUAAGCGGAGGAAAAGAAACUAACAAGGAUUCCCCUAGUAACGGCGAGUGAAGCGGGAAGAGCUCAAAUUUGAAAUCUUAAAGGGUUUCCCUUUACGAAUUGUAGUUUAAAGAAGUGUUUUCUGUUGAGGUUUUGGUAAAAGUUCUUUGGAAUAGGACAUCAUAGAGGGUGAGAAUCCCGUAUUUGACCUUUACUUUCAACUUUGUGAUACACUUUCAAAGAGUCGGAUUGUUUGGGAAUGCAGUCCAAAAUGGGUGGUAAAUUUCAUCUAAAGCUAAAUAUUGGCGAGAGACCGAUAGCGAACAAGUACCGUGAGGGAAAGAUGAAAAGAACUUUGAAAAGAGAGUUAAACAGUACGUGAAAUUGUCAAAAGGGAAGCGUUUGACACCAGUGUUGUUUUUCUGAAAAUCAAUUAAAGAACUGUUUAUGCUAAGUUGUUUAGACUUUAUCAGCUAACUGUUUAGUUUUGAGCUUUUCUUUAAUGCACUUUUCAGUUAACAAGUCAACAUCAAUUUCUUUUGCUGUAAAAAAGCUUGAGGAAGGUGGCUUGAGAUUCGUCUUAAGUGUUUAUAGCCUCUUGCCUAUGCAGUCGGAGAGAUUGAGGUCUGCAGCGUAGAUCCUUCGGGGCUAAAUGCAUUUGUGCUAAGUUAUAGCAUUUUAUAGACAACUUGUUGACUAUGAUUUGUCUUGUAGCUUACUCGCUUAUGUUAUUUUACCUACGCUUAGGAUGUUGAGCGCAUGUCUCUCUCU